UGGAAGCCAGCUGGUGGCAGCAGAAGAGACAAGAUAGAGGAUGCAAGAUGGCAGCAAAGAAUGCCUGAAUUCUAGGAGAUCAAGGAACUGACUAAGGUAAAGAUUCAUCUACAUUUAAAAUCCUAGUCUUGGUGUGGUUGCUGAUGAUGGUGCAAUUUGACUGAAGCAGUCUCAUAAGUGGAAGCUUAGAGUACCAGCUGAAGAAAAUAUUUUCACCGUGAGACCCAGUUCCAGCCAGAGACGUAAGAGGAAGUCAGCUGGUAGCUUCUGGGAACGAGUUUCCUCUCUGAGAAGAAAAGCCC